CUUCCUCUGAGCUAAAACAUGCCUAACAUCAGUGUGAAGUGUGCAGAGAUUGAGACUGACGGCGGGUUUGAGUUCAAACUUCCCUCUGAUUCACUGAAUCACACACUCAGAGACUGUGAGCAGAGCUGGUAUCUACAGGAUGAGCGUCUGAUAGCAGAUCCAUCAGAUCCUCAGAAACUGAUUGAUCCUGUGAUUUCUGUCUCGUCUGAUCGUCUCGUCACGUCUCGCUGUGUGAAUCUGAUUCAUGAGAUCAUCUGUCAUUCUGUUGGAUUAAAAUAUCAGACUGCCUUCAGAGUGUUUAAUGACACAGACUCCUUCAGCGGAUCGACUCAAACUCCAGAAUCACAUCAGUGGUGGUGGAUUUCUGCUCCGAUCUUUAUUGUUCUUCUGCUCUUGAUCUGUUUCUUGCUGCGGAAAAAGAUCUUCAGAUGUUUUCAGCGCAGUGAUUCAGAAAACAGGUGAGUGAAUCAAAGCUAGAGAGAGAAAGACUUGAACUGA
ensembl:lncRNA